rnacentral:rRNA from 1 species
UUAGGGAAUCUUCCACAAUGGGCGAAAGCCUGAUGGAGCAACGCCGCGUGUGUGAUGAAGGGUUUCGGCUCGUAAAACACUGUUGUAAGAGAAGAAUGACAUUGAGAGUAACUGUUCAAUGUGUGACGGUAUCUUACCAGAAAGGAACGGCUAAAUACGUG